CAAAAACAUCGCCUCUUGCAAAAUCAACAAAUAAGAGGUCCCGCCUGCCCUGUGACUAUAUGUUUAACGGCCGCGGUAUUUUGACCGUGCGAAGGUAGCGCAAUCACUUGUCUUUUAAAUGGAGACCUGUAUGAAUGGCACGACGAGGGCUUAACUGUCUCCUUUCCUAAGUCAAUGAAAUUGAUCUCCCCGUGCAGAAGCGGGGAUAGACCCAUAAGACGAGAAGACCCUAUGGAGCUUUAGACACUAAAGCAGCUCAUGUUAAAAACCCCCUCACAAGGGGCCGAACUAGAUGACCCCUGUCCUAAUGUCUUUGGUUGGGGCGACCACGGGGUAACAAAAAACCCCCGCGCGGAACAGAAACACUGUUUCCAGAACCAAGAGUGCCCACUCUAAGUUACAAGACCCACUUGACCUUUAAGAUCCGGCAUUAAGCCGAUCAACGGACCGAGUUACCCUAGGGAUAACAGCGCAAUCUUCUUCGAGAGUUCAUAUCGACGAGAGGGUUUACGACCUCGAUGUUGGAUCAGGACAUCCUAAUGGUGCAGCCGCUAUUAAGGGUUCGUUUGUUCAACGAUUAAAGUCCUACGUGAUC
rnacentral:rRNA from 1 species